AAGGUUAUUCUAACAAGUCUGAUACAGUCGUGAUAUAACAAGAAUGUUACAAGGUUGACGACACAAGUUUGUAUUACAACAAUAUUGUUAUAUCAUGACUGUAUCGGACUUGUUGGAACAAUCUU